rnacentral:lncRNA from 1 species
ACCUCCUUUGUAUAUUAACAUUCAAUAAGAUGCUUCACUGAAAGUCCCAGGGAGGAGCUGAAGAUGCAUCUGAGGGAAUAUCCAGAAAGAGAUAAUGGCAAAAAUCUCUACACCUACAUUUCCUACAAUUUCUGCAUUUCCAUGAGGCACUGGGGACACAUAGCAGCAAGAGGACUGCAAAGAGAAGUUUGUGGCUUUCCAGUGUGGAGAUGGGAUCUGCCCCUGCUGCUGAGCUCAGCUCUGGGUUUCCAGAUGCUGGAAAGGCAGCUGGUGGCUCCCAGCAGCAGGAGGAGUUUGAAUGCGUUGAUCAGCUCGAGGUGUUGUGUCUCUUCCUAGAGCUUCUCAGCCACAGGGAAAUGUGUUUGUUUACUCCAUCACACCCAUGAGACAGGUGAAAAUGUGAGAGCAAACGACACAGGAGCCACAGUGCACUGUCCCAGGCUGCCACCAGCCACAGCUCGAAUUUGGGAGUGGGAAGGAGAAGCGCAGACUGUGCUGUGAGCCAACCCCAUCUUGGGCCCAUGCAGGGCAACAAAGAAAGAAAAAAAUAAUAAAUUUCUGAACUUCAAGCUAACA